AUCAUGGCUCAGGACGAACGCUGGCGGCGUGCCUAAUACAUGCAAGUCGAACGAACUCUGGUAUUGAUUGGUGCUUGCAUCAUGAUUUACAUUUGAGUGAGUGGCGAACUGGUGAGUAACACGUGGGAAACCUGCCCAGAAGCGGGGGAUAACACCUGGAAACAGAUGCUAAUACCGCAUAACAACUUGGACCGCAUGGUCCGAGCUUGAAAGAUGGCUUCGGCUAUCACUUUUGGAUGGUCCCGCGGCGUAUUAGCUAGAUGGUGGGGUAACGGCUCACCAUGGCAAUGAUACGUAGCCGACCUGAGAGGGUAAUCGGCCACAUUGGGACUGAGACACGGCCCAAACUCCUACGGGAGGCAGCAGUAGGGAAUCUUCCACAAUGGACGAAAGUCUGAUGGAGCAACGCCGCGUGAGUGAAGAAGGGUUUCGGCUCGUAAAACUCUGUUGUUAAAGAAGAACAUAUCUGAGAGUAACUGUUCAGGUAUUGACGGUAUUUAACCAGAAAGCCACGGCUAACUACGUGCCAGCAGCCGCGGUAAUACGUAGGUGGCAAGCGUUGUCCGGAUUUAUUGGGCGUAAAGCGAGCGCAGGCGGUUUUUUAAGUCUGAUGUGAAAGCCUUCGGCUCAACCGAAGAAGUGCAUCGGAAACUGGGAAACUUGAGUGCAGAAGAGGACAGUGGAACUCCAUGUGUAGCGGUGAAAUGCGUAGAUAUAUGGAAGAACACCAGUGGCGAAGGCGGCUGUCUGGUCUGUAACUGACGCUGAGGCUCGAAAGUAUGGGUAGCAAACAGGAUUAGAUACCCUGGUAGUCCAUACCGUAAACGAUGAAUGCUAAGUGUUGGAGGGUUUCCGCCCUUCAGUGCUGCAGCUAACGCAUUAAGCAUUCCGCCUGGGGAGUACGGCCGCAAGGCUGAAACUCAAAGGAAUUGACGGGGGCCCGCACAAGCGGUGGAGCAUGUGGUUUAAUUCGAAGCUACGCGAAGAACCUUACCAGGUCUUGACAUACUAUGCAAAUCUAAGAGAUUAGACGUUCCCUUCGGGGACAUGGAUACAGGUGGUGCAUGGUUGUCGUCAGCUCGUGUCGUGAGAUGUUGGGUUAAGUCCCGCAACGAGCGCAACCCUUAUUAUCAGUUGCCAGCAUUAAGUUGGGCACUCUGGUGAGACUGCCGGUGACAAACCGGAGGAAGGUGGGGAUGACGUCAAAUCAUCAUGCCCCUUAUGACCUGGGCUACACACGUGCUACAAUGGAUGGUACAACGAGUUGCGAACUCGCGAGAGUAAGCUAAUCUCUUAAAGCCAUUCUCAGUUCGGAUUGUAGGCUGCAACUCGCCUACAUGAAGUCGGAAUCGCUAGUAAUCGCGGAUCAGCAUGCCGCGGUGAAUACGUUCCCGGGCCUUGUACACACCGCCCGUCACACCAUGAGAGUUUGUAACACCCAAAGUCGGUGGGGUAACCUUUUAGGAACCAGCCGCCUAAGGUGGGACAGAUGAUUAGGGUGAAGUCGUAACAAGGUAGCCGUAGGAGAACCUGCGGUUGGAUCA
rnacentral:rRNA from 2 species